rnacentral:rRNA from 1 species
UACGGAGGGGGCUAGCGUUGUUCGGAAUUACUGGGCGUAAAGCGCGCGUAGGCGGCUUUGUAAGUUAGAGGUGAAAGCCCAGGGCUCAACCCUGGAAGUGCACUCGAAACUGGACGGCUUGAAUAUGGAAGAGGGUUGCGGAAUUCCCGGUGUAGAGGUGAAAUUCGUAGAUAUCGGGAGGAACACCAGUGGCGAAGGCGGCAACCUGGGCCAAUAUUGACGCUGAGGUGCGAAAGCGUGGGGAGCAAACAGG